ACCAGGGUAGCUUAUUUAAAGCUUUGAUUUUGUAAUUCAAGGAAAAGGAAUCUUUCCUGGUA
rnacentral:tRNA from 1 species